UACGUAGGGUGCAAGCGUUGUCCGGAAUUAUUGGGCGUAAAGAGCUCGUAGGCGGUCUGUCGCGUCUGCUGUGAAAACUCAGGGCUUAACCCUGAGCUUGCAGUGGGUACGGGCAGACUAGAGUGCGGUAGGGGAGACUGGAAUUCCUGGUGUAGCGGUGAAAUGCGCAGAUAUCAGGAGGAACACCGGUGGCGAAGGCGGGUCUCUGGGCCGAUACUGACGCUGGAGACGCGAAAGCGUGGGGAGCGAACAGG
rnacentral:rRNA from 1 species